rnacentral:lncRNA from 1 species
GUAUCUUUUCUUUGUAGAUAACUGUCUACUGGUGGGCCAGGCCUCUGCCCAGAAUGCAGCAAGAUUCCGAUGACUCUUGGAGGAGUAUUGCGCUGCAUCGAGUCAGAAAGUCAACCUCGCCAAAUCUGCAAUUAUAUUCAGUCUGAAGACUCCAAUCUAGUUGCAGGCUACGAUUAGGGAUAUCCUAGAGAUUGGAGAGCGCAAAGGGACUCUACAGUACAUGAGAGUU